UGUGGUAUAGCUCAGUGGCAGAGCACGUGCUUAGCAUGCACCAGUUCCUGGGUUCAAUCCCCAGGACCUCCA
rfam:Camelus ferus unplaced genomic scaffold scaffold704, whole genome shotgun sequence.